GGUGGUUACGCCGCGAGCCUAACAGCGUCAGUCUGAUACCAAUAGAAAAAAACUGCGAGGCAGUCACGCUGGGCUCGAACCGGAUGGUUUGCACGUGUGAGGUCGACAUGUUUCUGCUAUCGUUACGUACCACCAGUGAUCUACUACACCACUGUGAAUUGCGGUGACAACCCAAAGUUUCCCGAAGGAGUAUAGAGGUUGCAGUAUGCUGGAUGCAAUAUAGCAUGGUGAUACCGGGGCAUAAACCCACCUCGCCUCAUUCCCAAGCUCCACUCUCUCCACGUGGUAAACGUUGUAGGCAAACCAUUUGCUGAUGUCAGCCACAAGUCGUACCGCAUCUCGCUUUUGUUUGUCCACUAUGCCAUAAACAGGACGGCAGCUGGGGUACAGAAUGAUGUAGGAACCGUGCUGCCUCAAUAGAAUUUGGAUCCGGUAAACAAAGGCAUUCAAGAUCACAUUCAAUCCAUGAGCGGGAACAGUGUAGUUCUGUGCAAGUUGAAAUGCUUGCCGUGCAACACCAGGUGGAAGCGCAUGUGUUCGUGUCCCUGCACCAUGGUUUCUUCAGGAGAUGCAAAACGUUUUGCCAAACGGCGUCGGCCUUGCUUCCUUCUGCGCUCCAUUUGUUGAUACCACAAGAGGCACUUGUAAAACCGCAUAUCCGUCCCAUUCGAACGGACAACUAUCGUGCUGGUGCCAAAAGGUCAUUUGAAACGACUGGCAUGUGAAUUCGUCUCGGAAGCGAUCAAUCUUAUACAGAUUUCCUCUAUGAUCGGAGAUUGGUUUAAUGAGGCAUCUUUUUGCCGGGAAGUUCUCGUCUAGAAUACAUAAGCGAGUAUUAACUUAGAUACACAGAUGGACGUAAUAAAUCAUUGCACCUUUGUACCUACUUGACU
rnacentral:lncRNA from 1 species